UACGUAGGGUGCGAGCGUUGUCCGGAAUUAUUGGGCGUAAAGAGCUCGUAGGCGGUUUGUCGCGUCGGCCGUGGAAACCGGGGGCUUAACCCUCGGCGUGCGGUCGAUACGGGCAGACUUGAGUUCGGCAGGGGAGACUGGAAUUCCUGGUGUAGCGGUGGAAUGCGCAGAUAUCAGGAGGAACACCGGUGGCGAAGGCGGGUCUCUGGGCCGGUACUGACGCUGAGGAGCGAAAGCGUGGGGAGCAAACAGGAUUAGAAACCCCAGUAGUCC
rnacentral:rRNA from 1 species